CCUAUAGGCAUAAGCAGUUAGACGAAAUGAGAGACGAGAAAGAAGAAGAAAAGAUCAUGGAGAAGAAGAAGAAGAAGAAGAAUAAGCAGAAGCUGAAGAAUCAAGAAGAAAAACAAAAUGAAGGAGAAGACAAGAACACAGUGAAGGAGGAGAAGGAUACUAAACAGAAAGCUCAACCACAAAUUAACAACAAGAAGAGGAAACGCAAGGAAGUUUUCCCUUUCGGCAAUUAUAGAGGCUACUAUGGCUAUCGUAUUGGUCAAGACAUGGACGAAGACCCUCGACUUAAGGUUUUUAAGGAGGAAUGGUUUCAAGGCAAGGAUUGCCUCGAUAUUGGCUGCAAUAGUGGCAUUAUUACUAUACAGAUUG
rnacentral:misc_RNA from 1 species